rnacentral:tRNA from 1 species
GACCUUGUGGCACAAUGGUAGCACGUCUGACGCCAGAUCAGAAGAUUGAGUGUUCAAAUCACGUCAAGGUCA